GUACUUGGUGUUACUGCGAAGGGGGGACGGAGAAGGCUAUGUUGGCCGGGCGACGGUUGUCCCGGUUUAAGCGUGUAGGUGUGUGUUCCAGGUAAAUCCGGUUCACUUUAACACUGAGGCGUGAUGACGAGGCACUACGGUGCUGAAGCAACAAAUGCCCUGCUUCCAGGAAAAGCCUCUAAGCAUCAGGUAACAUCAAAUCGUACCCCAAACCGACACAGGUGGUCAGGUAGAGAAUACCAAGGCGCUUGAGAGAACUCGGGUGAAGGAACUAGGCAAAAUGGUGCCGUAACUUCGGGAGAAGGCACGCUGACACGUAGGUGAAGUGAUUUACUCAUGGAGCUGAAGUCAGUCGAAGAUACCAGCUGGCUGCAACUGUUUAUUAAAAACACAGCACUGUGCAAACACGAAAGUGGACGUAUACGGUGUGACGCCUGCCCGGUGCCGGAAGGUUAAUUGAUGGGGUCAGCGCAAGCGAAGCUCCUGAUCGAAGCCCCGGUAAACGGCGGCCGUAACUAUAACGGUCCUAAGGUAGCGAAAUUCCUUGUCGGGUAAGUUCCGACCUGCACGAAUGGCGUAAUGAUGGCCAGGCUGUCUCCACCCGAGACUCAGUGAAAUUGAACUCGCUGUGAAGAUGCAGUGUACCCGCGGCAAGACGGAAAGACCCCGUGAACCUUUACUAUAGCUUGACACUGAACAUUGAGCCUUGAUGUGUAGGAUAGGUGGGAGGCUUUGAAGCGUGGACGCCAGUCUGCGUGGAGCCGACCUUGAAAUACCACCCUUUAAUGUUUGAUGUUCUAACGUGGACCCGUAAUCCGGGUUGCGGACAGUGUCUGGUGGGUAGUUUGACUGGGGCGGUCUCCUCCUAAAGAGUAACGGAGGAGCACGAAGGUUGGCUAAUCCUGGUCGGACAUCAGGAGGUUAGUGCAAUGGCAUAAGCCAGCUUGACUGCGAGCGUGACGGCGCGAGCAGGUGCGAAAGCAGGUCAUAGUGAUCCGGUGGUUCUGAAUGGAAGGGCCAUCGCUCAACGGAUAAAAGGUACUCCGGGGAUAACAGGCUGAUACCGCCCAAGAGUUCAUAUCGACGGCGGUGUUUGGCACCUCGAUGUCGGCUCAUCACAUCCUGGGGCUGAAGUAGGUCCCAAGGGUAUGGCUGUUCGCCAUUUAAAGUGGUACGCGAGCUGGGUUUAGAACGUCGUGAGACAGUUCGGUCCCUAUCUGCCGUGGGCGCUGGAGAACUGAGGGGGGCUGCUCCUAGUACGAGAGGACCGGAGUGGACGCAUCACUGGUGUUCGGGUUGUCAUGCCAAUGGCACUGCCCGGUAGCUAAAUGCGGAAGAGAUAAGUGCUGAAAGCAUCUAAGCACGAAACUUGCCCCGAGAUGAGUUCUCCCUGAGACUUUAGAGUCUCCUGAAGGAACGUUGAAGACGACGACGUUGAUAGGCCGGGUGUGUAAGCGCAGCGAUGCGUUGAGCUAACCGGUACUAAUGAACCGUGAGGCUUAACCUU
rnacentral:rRNA from 1 species